AUCAGAUCUCACUCUCUGCUUCUUAGUGGCAAAAUUCACACUAGGAACAAUGUCGCGUCGCUUCAUUCUCCUCAUCUCUCUCACCACUCUCCUCAUCUUCUCUAAACUCUCUCCCACUCUCUCCAAAACUCAAAACGACAAGGUUCAAGAUCCCGACGACGACGAAGAUCUCAGCUUCCUCGAGGAGGAAAAUGAUAAAAACGACGCCGUUCCUCACGACAAUCACUACCCCGAUUCUGACCAGUUCGAGGGAGAUGAGAUUGAUAGCGACCACUUUGAUAACUACUCUGAUUUUGACGAUUCCGAAUC
rnacentral:misc_RNA from 1 species